UACGGGGGGGGCAAGCGUUGUUCGGAAUUACUGGGCGUAAAGGGCGCGUAGGCGGCCCGCUAAGUCGAACGUGAAAUCCCCGAGCUCAACUCGGGAACUGCGUCCGAUACUGGCGGGCUUGAAUCCGGGAGAGGGAUGCGGAAUUCCAGGUGUAGCGGUGAAAUGCGUAGAUAUCUGGAGGAACACCGGUGGCGAAGGCGGCAUCCUGGACCGGCAUUGACGCUGAGGCGCGAAAGCUAGGGGAGCAAACGGGG
rnacentral:rRNA from 1 species